UCGACUAAGGUUCGACUCGAGCGCCAGCGAGAGAACGUUGCCACAGGCAACGGCCCGAAGGGCGAGGAGAGAUAGCGACGAGUUAUCCUUCCCCCACCACCA
rnacentral:sRNA from 1 species